rnacentral:rRNA from 1 species
GACGUAGGGGGCGAGCGUUGUCCGGAUUUACUGGGCGUAAAGGGCGCGCAGGCGGCCCUUUUUGUCAGGCGUGAAAGCCCCGGGCUCAACCUGGGAGGUGCGCUUGGGACGGGAUGGCUAGAGAUCGGGAGAGGAGAGUGGAAUUCCCAGUGUAGAGGUGAAAUUCGUAGAUAUUGGGAAGAACAUCAAUGGCGAAGGCAGCUUGCUGGGCUACUCCUGACACUGAGGUACGAAAGCGUGGGGAGCGAACAGG